CAAGGAAAUAAAUACAACUUUUUUCCAUCAUUCCACCAGCCUCAACCUCAGCGUGUCCGUGAAACUUUUUCCAUACGCUUCCGUAUUUUUAUAAUGAGUCGUCAAAUUGAGUUAAAUAUUAAUCAAGUUUAGAAUUUAAUCACAAAAAUACAGAUAUUAAAUUCCCAGCACGUUUUACAAAUUCGUAAAAUUUUCAAGUUAACAAAAAUAUGUAAAGCCAAUAAAUCAGCUUAAGAUUUUCGACAUAUUUAAUAAAAAUGUCCUUUAAUUUUGGAGAGAAUAAUAGCGGUGUGACCACCAUUCCAAAAACGGUAACCGAAGCAAGAACGACAUUCAAACGGUUGCGGAAAUCAACUCGUUCGGAUUUCGUCGAAUUCAUAAAAUUCUACAAUUCUGAGAAACUUUCCAAGACUUUGACCCAAGGGGAGACGAUUGCGUUGGAAACUCUGCACAAAUCAUGGACAAAGAUGACCUCGUCGUAUAAGAUUGAUCAAGACGAACUGUUUGGGUUAAAGGAAUAUCACACCAUUUUGAAUGGACCGUUAGAUAAGUGUACCCCAUGGUUGACAUAUGUCGAUAAUUUCUUGCAAUGGCGACCUCUUCUCAUGGCAACCUGCAUUCAAUUGAGGACUACUACAUUUUAAGAAAUUUUCAUGGUUUAUGCAAUUCGUUAUGAAUUUAAGAUUUUAUUGGGCAUGAUUACGUAAAUAGAAAAUUAGCUUAAAUUUUAUACACUGAAUUAGAGAGGAAUUAAAUAAACAUAAAUUUUACACUAAUUUUAUACAAAUUUUAAA